AAACACGGGAAAAGUGGAUAUGAACACAACAAAUAUUUCUUCCGUGACACCAUUCACUCAAAAGAAAACGAACGCAGAAAUUUCUUUCAAAUGAAUACAAAACUAGUAAACUACAGAAAUGAUGAAUUUAUUCCGCAUCACAGUUGAAAGCAGAGUGCAUCGUCCACUCGGUAAACAAUUAGAAAGAAUACACUUCUGAAUCUGAUGGAUUAACAAGUCAACAGCAAUUAAAGAACCGAAUGCAAUCCCCUAGAAAACAACAGUAGUAAUUACCCCAUACAGGAAGAAGAUAUUCAAAUUUUAGACUGGAUCACAUGAAAUGAAUUGUGACUUGCAAAAUCAUUUAACCCUCUUAAAUCUGCUAUCACCGUGUUUCAUUAUCCUAUAGGACUGCACUAUACCCAACUAUGAAAGGUACCACGAUACCCAACUAUGAAAGGUACGUGUAGUUAUUGUUGUAUCAUCUAUCUAUGUCCAUCUCCUCUGAUAUCAAUUCCAUGCAGAAGCAGAUACCAAAUUCCUGUUCUUCCAGCCCAACAACAUAGCUCCAUCUUUCUCCACCAGUGUGUAAUGUUCUGAAUAACACCUCAGCAAGCUCCUUAUCACAGAGUUGACGUAGGAGCUCAAAGGGUAUUGCCGGAAACCAGCCAUUGUGAGCCUACACUUCCACUUGCCAAAGAGCUCAUGACGCUCCACCCUCUCCUUCCCCUCACAAGCGAUGACAUUCACAAUAUCCUUGGCUAAACAGUGCUGCUCCACACCAAUACGCUCCUUUUGGUCCCUUGGCAGUGUCACAUCUAUGGACUCAAACAUUGCCAAGUAGUAGUCAAGAGUUUCUAUGAACCUUGUGAGGAAAGGAGUUGUGUUUGUGUUUGAUUCUUGCUCCACCAAAGUCACCACCUUGGGAUUAAGUGAUUUGACCAUUUGAAGUAGCCCAUCCCUUGGAUUACUCACAUCGACGCCCUCAUCAGGAGUGUGAUGAAGCUGCAAGGGAAAGUUUACAGCCAGAGCCUCCCCAGGCCUGACAUCAAGCAUGUCCCGUGUGACUUCUGGAGCAAAAACUGGCACACCAUGAAACUCUAUAGGGAUAUUAAAUUUCUCAGAGAUUGUCGCUAAUCUUCUGUGAACUGCCUCUAAGCCAUCACCACGGGCCUGUUUAUUAACAGGAUCAUCAAUACCUGUAAUACGCACGUGUGGAGCUCCGUCUGGCUUUGCUGCAAGAGCUUGAAGGAGAGUUAUCCACUGGGUACCCUGAGCAAUUUGGAAGUCAAUGAUAUGGAUGCGAUCCUCAUUUUUGCAUGCUUCAGCAAUGGCUCCAUUGGCUGCCAUGUAUCCAAACUUCAGGUAAGGACAAAUUUCAUAUAGGAUCUGCAUGUACGAAAGCAAGUCCCUGCUUUCAGGCUCUCUACAACUAAAGGAACGGUAAAUGUUAUUGCCUGAUGACUCCUUCCUUGCUACCAAGCCUUCAACCAAGUAUGCACCAAGGCGCUGGAUUGGCUCUCCACUGAUAGACACUGCACCUCUAGCCUUUUCAAUCAACUUACCAAAAUCAUUUACGUUGUUUUCUGCCAGAGCUUUAGCACAUGCGAUGAGCAAUUGCUUCAGACUGCCUGGUGGAAUACUUUGAAAUUUUGCUUCCUCCAAUGGUUUUUGAUGUUUCUCAACAGCAGCACCUUCACCUGAUUGCCUAUGCCUAGAAUCAAUAGAUGUAUGAGCCGGAAUCAUGCAAGAAACAUGGUGCUCCUGGCUCCAGGCCCCAGUCCUCUGACCUGAUGUCUGUGGUCUACUACUUUCCCCCAAAGAAGUAUCAGCUAUUGACAUGUCUUCAUCAUCAUCAGGUGCCAUAAGAGCAGUCUCCAAUUGCAGCAAUGUGUAUUUUAUGUUCUGGCUAGAAUUUGCAUCGUGCAACAAUGGGGGGCUCAGUUGAUGAAAAUAACUACUGGAUUCAAGUGAAGAGUUACAAGAAGGGCUGGCUCCUGAAGGAUUCUCAGUAGAACUAUACUGCUCCUGGCUCUCACUCAAUGUGGUAAAAGAAUCACAAUCAAAUUGAUUUGAGAAGGUUGAGCUAGGUGAGUUUCCUAUAUCAGAAUUGAAGGACUCAAAGAGUAUAUUAGGCAUUGAAGGAGCAAUUGGAUAAGAAGAUGAGUAGGAUAUGCCAGCACCAGUGAUGCCGUAUCUGAAAAGCUGGUGUGAUUCCAUGCUAAAGGUAUAGCAUCAGUUGUUCCACUACUAAUUCAGAAAGAGAUUGGCUCUACCUGCCCAAUGACCCAAGCAGCUACCAGUAGUUUUAAAAUCCUCUGUAUAGAACCCAAGCCUUUGUAUGCUUGAAAGCAAUAUCAACCUGAAACUUUCCGGGCAAAAAAAGAAAUACAAAAUUUUCUACUCUUCGCUUGAAGACAGCUACCUUUUAGGGUCCGAUUUUUCAGGCUUCAAACUUCGAAUUGCUUGAGUAGUAUUUAAAUUGGUUGUAUAGUUUCGAAAGAAGCAGCAGCCAAGGUUUAAGUUUAUAUAUAGAGUAGAAGCGAAGAGAGUUG
rnacentral:misc_RNA from 1 species